ACUAUAAGCGGGGAUAAGCAUGCAGGUGAGGGUCCACAUGUGUGCUUCACCAGGUACAGGCAUACACGUCCAUGAUUUCUCCAGUAUUGACAUCUCAUCCAAAUUUUACAAGAUGGAAACCACCGCUUCGUAAUUUCUAAGCAUCGCUUUGAAAUUUCCAAGGUUAUCUGCUAUUCUCUUGCGAAGGAGAGCUGUAAACUUUUCUAGGGCCCAUGCUAUUUGGAAUUGGACGCUCAGUUUAGGUGCGUUGCCUGUAGAGUUAUUAGGUAAGGUUUUUUCCCUGUUUCCCCUUUCCUCUUCCAUGUUUAUCACUGUUAUUUAGAUUUUAAGAUUGUGUUGAGUUUUAAUUUGAAGAAUGCUUUCUUCUGUGUUUACAUUUAGCUUACUUUUGCCUAAAUUUUUAAGCUAAUUGGUGAUUAAUUGUUACACCUCUGUUCUUCGUGGUUUAUUCUUCACUUUAAAGUGUUAUAAUUCUUUCAAGGUGCAGUUAGAAUGGUUUUGUGUUCGUCAACUGCAUUCGAACUGGAGUUAUAUACUUCCCCUUUUCCCACAAAGUAACUGCACAUCCAACCUGCUGAAGGUUUAUGUAUGAUCAGAUGCCUAUUUCCUCUUCUUUGGGCAACAAUUAUUUGAUGUCAUAUGUACAUGACAUUGUUCUGUGAUCAGGGGUGGCUUUGUUUCCUGCAUAUGUCACCUGAACCUUGGGUAGCAAAGGUGUUCGAUAAUAAUUCUGGCUCAUUUUAUUUGGAAUAAGCAAGUCCUCCAAUUUUAUUUAACCUUGUUGUUGGGAGAUUUUCGAAUUUCUUCUUUUUUAUAGGCUUGCGAGCGGGAUGCUCUGCCUAACAUUUUGAACUGGCUGCAGCAUAAUAUACUAUUCAGUCAAGAUAUCCAUCUUCUGAAUGGCUCAUUUUACUGCAAGUAUCUUGCUUAGCUGCAUCGCGUGACAUACAGGAUAUACGAUUUCUCACAAUUUUAUUAACAAUUUUUAUCUUUCCAAUUACUUCUUGCAAGAAUGCAGAUAGUGCUAGCAAUGCUCCCAUUCCGAUUCAUCGACCAAUCACAAGAUCUAACUCUAAUUCUUGGUUGAGAAAUUCUUAUUAUCAAAUACUUAUCAUCUGGUCUGCCUUCUUUUAUGAUAGUAUGGAGCAUUCUUCCUCCUCCAUGAAUUAUGCUGUGCAAAUGGCUAACAAGCAGCAACAAUCAACAAUCAAGAUAAAUUUUUGGACAAGGGUCUUGAAUGUUCAAGUAGGAGAGACAUCAAGACUAGCUUGGCUCGGUGUGGAGGUGAAUCCACUGGCUCAUUCAGAUGAUGUCUUGAAGACUUAUAGUAGACCUACUGAGGGCCUUAAUCAGCCUUCUUCAAAAUGGCUCUGAUCCAAGAAUACCAUAGUUUCCGAUCUUGGGCUUCUUGGGAUCAAACGGGGUCAGACCGACUCAGCUUCUGAGGGGGAGACACCAGCUCCUAAGCUCGGAGAAAAAUAAUAGUCAGGAAAAAGGUAACAAGUGGAGUCUAGGUGGUUGACGAACUACUCACCAUCACUGUUCAAUUUUGCAGCUUGAGAAUUUAAUAAGCAUUUGAUUGAAUCACAAAAUGAAGACAGCUUAAAUGCAAGUCUAAUCCCGAGCAUUGCCAUGUCCACUACAGCAGAAGGUGAUUAACUGUACUAGGAUGCUGGGGAGGCUCUCUUCUCAAAUUUUUACCUCAAUUCAUUUCCGAAUCUUCAUGAAUCAUGAGACGUGAGAUUAUUGGCUAGCUGAAAUAUUUCAGGCUGAACUUUUAAAAUGAAUUCCAUAGUUAGGAGUUAGGUUUAUUGCUGCAUUCCUUUACUGUCAUGCUUUUAGAACUUGUAUUUAAAUUUUCAUAAAAAUUAUGAUUUCAUUGAAAGGAAAAUGUAGGGACCCUGCUAGAUUUGGAAGAGAUCCUAUGUAAGAGCCCUAUUUUUCAAAACACAAAUGUUAAUGUGUCGGUAUGUAGGUUGUACUAUCACAAUGGAACAGAGGCUUACUAUCGAAGCAGUAACACUGUUAACUACAGAGUGGAUGUGCAAAGUUCGGUAGUGGAGAAAUUCCACCAAACAGAAAGCAAAGACCAGUCCGUUCAUUUCCAACAAUAAUUGUACAAGAUGAAAUUAUCUGCUUGGGUUAAAAACGGGACAGACUUACUUUACUUACGUACUUCAAGAUUACUCUGAUUGAAAAUGUUUAUGGGGCUUAAAGCUUCUAACAUGUUGCAGUACGAAGCUACUUCCCCUGAUUUGGAAUGCUGAGCUUGUAACGGAUGAUGAUAUUGUGUAAACAAAGCACCGUUCCCCUGUGAAGGCUGAGUCUUUUGCUGGAUAAUUGCUAUGCAUAUGCUGACAGCAUAACAUUUUCCUAAUUUGCGUGCUUGCUGAAGUAGAAAAAAACGCAUUGACAAGUUGGGUACUAUGCUGGAAUUGCUUCAGCUGAUUUAUCAGGUCAAAGUGCUUCGACUUUUUUGAAUUUGUUGACUCAUGUACUUCUUCUAACACUGCUGAGAUAUUCAUUAACCAAAAUCACUGUUAUUACUUA